GGCAAGAUGGCCGAGUGGUUAUGGCGUGUGACUCAAGCUUUCAAGCUUCCUCAGCGUAGCGAGGGUUCUCAUGGGCUUAGCCCGCGUGGGUUCGAAUCCCACUCUUGUCA